rnacentral:rRNA from 1 species
CAGUAGCCGCGGUAAAACAGAGGGUGCGAGCGUUAAUCGGAUUUACUGGGCGUAAAGCGUGCGUAGGCGGCUUUUUAAGUCGGAUGUGAAAUCCCUGAGCUUAACUUAGGAAUUGCAUUCGAUACUGGGAAGCUAGAGUAUGGGAGAGGAUGGUAGAAUUCCAGGUGUAGCGGUGAAAUGCGUAGAGAUCUGGAGGAAUACCGAUGGCGAAGGCAGCCAUCUGGCCUAAUACUGACGCUGAGGUACGAAAGCAUGGGGAGCAAACAGGAUUAGAGACCCCCGUAGUCCCUGUCUCUUAUAC